AUUUUGUAAAUAAAUAAACAACUUUUUCAAUAAAUAUAGGCUUCCUCAUCAAUUAUUUCCCAAUCUUAUUUUCACCUUUUUAAUCCUCAAACUCCCGUUCUCACUAUCCAAACGCCCCGUUAUUUUCUUCUCAUUCCCUGCUGAUUUCCUUCUAUUUCAUUCUCUCUCUUCAGAUUCUCCUAUUUUCCAACUUUAUUUUGCUCAAUUUCUAUAGAUAUUAAUGCUUUUCUUAUCAUUUUUUGUUUGGGUGUAGGAACUGAGCUUAAAGUUUGCAUCUUGGAUGGAGUGGUUGUGGUUAUCUACUGGUGCUCUUUCUAAAUUGUGCUCGAUCAUCUCUGUUAAUUUAGAAAUUGAACAAGAGAGCGGUUGAGGCUUCAGAUGAGCAACGUCUAAUGCCUGACAUCAGGACUGGAGACAUUGUGCAAAUCAAAUUGUUUGGCUGAUGUUGAUGGUAAUGGAACAUCAUCACAGCCGCAAUGCAUAUGAAUAGAGUGGAGAAGGAGGAGUGGGAGACCAUCUGUAAAAGGGCUUUGAAUAUUUUGACCAAGACAAGAGUGGGUAGCUUGCUCAUGGCUUUUAAAUAUCUUGUCUGCUUUCAAAACAUUUUCAACAGCUUUGUAUCCUGACUCCUGAUUAAUGAACAUUGCUUGCUUUGAUUCUCACCAUUGAUUUCAUGGGUGAUGAGCAAGCCUCGAACAAGUAUAACAUGGGUGAUGAGAAAACAAUGCAGGAGAUAAUUGCUCAAGUUGACGCAUAUAAUUUAUCUUCUUGUCUCUGUCUCCUUAUUUACCGUUAAGUAGAUAAUCGUAAAGCAUAAUCCUGCUAGCUGCUGUCUCAUUAUUCUUCAGCAUAGCUUUUGUCAAUUUGAUAGUUGUGCUAUCAUUCAUAUCGAAGAGACUCAAAGCAUGUUACUGGCAGAAUUAAAACUGGACUAAAUUACAAUUCUUCUCUCCUGUGCAUGAUGUUAGAAUUAACUAUGAGGAUUUCAUAGCUAUGAUGAAGAAAGGCAAUCCUGAUUUGUGUUAAACAGAUGGAGGAGAUGAUUCAUAGGACAGUAACUGUAUGAUAUGACUACUAUGACUAUCGUGUAAAUGUUAUCUACACCAGCCUAGAACGAUUGCAAAGAUUUUGUCAAUAUCCGAUGCCUUGAAAUAGAGUGGAUCAAAAAGAAAGAAACGCUCAAAGCACGUGCUCAGCUAAACUAUGUUGUCCAGUACAUCAUCAAGCUAAAAAUUCCAUUUGCAGCAGCACAGUUUGUCUCUCAGUCUAAAGGGAACUAUGUGCGUCUCUGCAUGCAGAAAUUCAGCAGCCAUGUGGUUGAAGCUUGGAGCAUUUUUUAACCAGUGUACGAGGAUAGUCACCAAUUCAAGGUCUGCUUCUAAUAAAAUCCAAGAGUUUACAGGGUUAGUCACCAAGUAUUCUCAUCCUCUUAAGUGUGGGCGUGCACACUGGGCUAGGGAUUGCCCGUCGAGUGGUGGUGGAAGGUAUCCUUCACAAUCUAAAUUUUGUAGAUUUGGUCUGCAGGGAGAUCGUGAUUAUGACUGCUGGGGACUGUUAUGGCAGUAGAGAUUGUUUGGAGAAUCAGAAAUGGGUAUCCGCCUGCUAGUGAUCAUUCUGGAAGCGAUAGAUAUUUGGAUCGAUGUCCCUUAAAUAUGGCCGGGAUAGAGAUAUGGAGGCGUUAUGAGGUGGUGAUGGGUAUGCUGCUGGUGGACCAACUCCCUAUGACAGAGAAAGCUUUAGAUACCAGGCUCACCCUUAUGAUGCUCCGGGAGAAGCAAACAGAGUUGAUAUUGCUGUUGAUUUUGCUCCUUUUCUAAAUAGUUGCAGAAAUGUUGGAUAUCGUCUCCUUUGCGUAUUCGUAUUCUGUCCAGAAAAAAUUUAAAAGAGUAUGGAUAACUGUGGUGACCUUAUUAGUUGACCUGUAGGAGUAUCUAUUGGGAGGAAAUUAUUUAUAUUCUGUAUGUAUGUUUUAGUUGAAUGUAAGAAUGGACAAGAUGCACAUAGAUCAAUGUUGGAUAUCCUCCCUUUUUGCCCCACACAUUGCGCAUAUAUAUUAUCAGUUAAUAAACCCCUGGAACUCAAAUUUUUAACCUUCA